UUCAUUUGUACUUGGGUUUUU
rnacentral:piRNA from 1 species